AGCAAAUCUAACACAUAGAAAUGUCGAAAAGUUGACAUUUCUAAUUAAAUCGAAUUUUAAAUUCUCGUUGAAAAUUAAGAAAUUCAUUUUGUGUAGCUAAAUAGCCAGAAGCAUGCCAAUCUCUUCGUUCCCACGAUGAGCAUACAUCUGUUAUGAAAUGUAAAUAUUUUCAAGUCAGCUGUUCCUCAAAGAAUACAGUGCUGUUUGAUCAAACAAAGGAAUAGUCUGAAUAAACAUAAUAUCGGUAUCAUAAAUUUGAGUGUGGAACCUCUUGCAACCAAUACCUUUCUAGCUGGCUUCUACCAUUCUCAAGAAUAGCCCAAUCACUGCCUCAUGUGUCUUCACAAGAAUCACAUAUGUCUGCUCAAUAUGCGAGCAUUCUAUGGUUGUAGAGAACGAUUUGUCUGGAUUGUAUUUUCAUACAACCAAUGGAAAAACCAAUAAAACAAGCACGCAUCAGACCUGCCUCUAGAUUAUUAGGAUCAAAAUGCAUGUCGAAAAACCACUCCUAACUAAGAAAAGGCUGAAAACCAAUGAACGACCAACGUGUAAAUCCUAGGCCAAGGAAGAAUGUUGCUGGUUGCAAGAAGAAUAAACUUCCAAAAACGCUACAAAAAAAAAAAGAAUAUCAAAAAAAUAAUUAAAUUUGAUUCGAAUUUGUCA